CAGUUCCUUGCAAAAUUCCUAGAUUGCCUACCGUAGUAACCUCGCUGAUAUAUUCAAAUUUCCUUCAAAUCCUAUUCAACAUUCAUCAAAAAAUAAUCCAAUGAAGUGGUUCUGCAUACACAGGGAUCUGAAUACAGUUUCUGUGUUUAAACCGAUUGUAACUGGAGGACUUUCGAAAGUAACUGAAAGUUGCUGUUCCGAGUUUCCAAUGUUAAACGUGCAACCCCCGAUUACUAAUGGAAGUCUGAAGAAAAAAGUCUGCAAGGAGAACACAUUGUGUGUGUGUACGAAGCAACCAAAAUGGUAGUCGACAAAAUCGUAAAAUUGUUGUCCCUGGGGAGAAUUCAAUAUGCCCGAGGAAAAUAUGGCAUUGAAAUGAGAAUUUCUGGUUUUCCAAUAUGUUCCCGACAAACUUUUAAAAGCGGAGCAAUGGAAGCCUUCAUAAAUAAGUAGCGCUCGAUCCUGUCACUUGGAAUACAACUUUAUCGAUUUCUAAUAACUAUCAAGAGACAAAUUUAUUUUUAACGUUGGGG